ACCUGCAAAAUAGCUCAGUCAGUAGAGCAUAAGACUCUUAACCUUGGGGUUGUGAGUUCUUGCCCCACUUUGGGCU